GAUGAACGCUGGCGGCGUGCCUAAUACAUGCAAGUCGAGCGAACAGACGAGGAGCUUGCUCCUCUGACGUUAGCGGCGGACGGGUGAGUAACACGUGGAUAACCUACCUAUAAGACUGGGAUAACUUCGGGAAACCGGAGCUAAUACCGGAUAAUAUAUUGAACCGCAUGGUUCAAUAGUGAAAGACGGUUUUGCUGUCACUUAUAGAUGGAUCCGCGCCGCAUUAGCUAGUUGGUAAGGUAACGGCUUACCAAGGCGACGAUGCGUAGCCGACCUGGGAGGGUGAUCGGCCACACUGGAACGGAGACACGGUCCAGACUCCUACGGGAGGCAGCAGUAGGGAAUCUUCCGCAAUGGGCGAAAGCCUGACGGAGCAACGCCGCGUGAGUGAUGAAGGUCUUCGGAGCGUAAAACUCUGUUAUGAGGGAAGAACAAAUGUGUAAGUAACUAUGCACGUCUUGACGGUACCUAAUCAGAAAGCCACGGCUAACUACGUG
rnacentral:rRNA from 1 species